ensembl:snoRNA SNORD7 Z30 small nucleolar RNA
UUGCAUUGAUGAGCUGUGAUUGUGUCUGACCUGGUAUUGCUAUUCCUCCGGGAAUAGUUUUGACCAAAGCCUGGAGACUUAAUCUUCUCUCUGAGCAG